rnacentral:rRNA from 1 species
CAGCAGUCGCCGCGGGAAUACGUAGGUGGCAAGCGUUGUCCGGAAUUAUUGGGCGUAAAGGGCUCGCAGGCGGUUUCUUAAGUCUGAUGUGAAAGCCCCCGGCUCAACAGGGGAGGGUCAUUGGAAACUGUUAAACUUGAGUGCAGGAGAGAAAAGUGGAAUUCCUAGUGUAGCGGUGAAAUGCGUAGAGAUUAGGAGGAACACCAGUGGCGAAGGCGGCUUUUUGGCCUGUAACUGACACUGAGGCGCGAAAGCGUGGGGAGCAAACAGGAUUAGAUACCCGCGUAGUCCCUGUCUCUUAUAC